UACCAGCACCCCGAGUGGUCGGGACGAUUAUUGGGCUUAAAGCAUCCGUAGCCGGUCCUACAAGUCUUCCGUUAAAUCCACCUGCUUAACAGAUGGGCUGCGGAAGAUACUAUAGGGCUAGGAGGCGGGAGAGGCAAGCGGUACUCAGUGGGUAGGGGUAAAAUCCUCUGAUCCAUUGAAGACCACCAGUGGCGAAGGCGGCUUGCCAGAACGCGCUCGACGGUGAGGGAUGAAAGCUGGGGGAGCAAACCGG
rnacentral:rRNA from 1 species